AAUAUUGCACAAUGGGCGAAAGCCUGAUGCAGCAACGCAACGUGAGUGAUGAAGGCCUUCGGGUCGUAAAGCUCUUUGAUCAGGGAUGAUAAUGACAGUACCUGACAAACAAGCCACUGCCAACUACGUGCCAUCAGCCGCGGUCAUACGAAGGUGGCGCGCGUUGUCCGGAAUUACUGUGCGUAAAGGAUGCGUAGGUGGAUAUUUAAGUGGGAUGUGAAAUCCCCGGGCUCAACCCGGGGACUGCAUUCCAAACUGGGUAUCUAGAGUGCAGGAGAGGAAAGCGGAAUUCCUAGUGUAGCGGUGAAAUGCGUAGAUAUUAGGAGGAACACCAGUGGCGAAGGCGGCUUUCUGGACUGUAACUGACACUGAGGCAUGAAAGCGUGGGUAGCAAACAGG
rnacentral:rRNA from 1 species